rnacentral:rRNA from 1 species
UGGAGCCUGCGGUUUAAUCGGACUCAACGCCGGGAAACUCACCAGAUAAGACAGCUGAAUGAUAGUCGGGCUGAAGACUCUACUUGACUAGCUGAGAGGAGGUGCAUGGCCGUCGUCAGUUCGUACUGUGAAGCAUCCUGUUAAGUCAGGCAACGAGCGAGACCCACGCCAACAGUUGCCAGCUCGUCCUCCGGGAUGGUGGGGACACUGUUGGGACCGCCUCUGCUAAAGAGGAGGAAGGAAUGGGCAACGGUAGGUCAGCAUGCCCCGAAUUAUCUGGGCUACACGCGGGCUACAAUGGGUGGGACAAUGGGUAUCGACACCGAAAGGUGAAGGCAAUCUCCUAAACCCAUCCGUAGUUCGGAUUGUGGGCUGCAACUCGCCCACAUGAAGCUGGAAUCUGUAGUAAUCGUGUCUCAAAAUGGCACGGUGAAUAUGUCCCUGCUCCUU